rnacentral:rRNA from 1 species
CCUACGGGUGGCAGCAGUGAGGAAUAUUGGUCAAUGGGCGAAAGCCUGAACCAGCCAAGUCGCGUGAAGGAAGAAGGAUCUAUGGUUUGUAAACUUCUUUUAUAUGGGAGUAAAGUGAGGAACGUGUUCCUGUUUGUAUGUACCAUAUGAAUAAGCAUCGGCUAACUCCGUGCCAGCAGCCGCGGUAAUACGGAGGAUGCGAGCGUUAUCCGGAUUUAUUGGGUUUAAAGGGUGCGUAGGCGGUCAAUUAAGUCAGCGGUGAAAUUUUGUGGCUCAACCAUAAAAUUGCCGUUGAAACUGGUUGACCUGAGUAUAUUUGAGGUAGGCGGAAUGCGUGGUGUAGCGGUGAAAUGCAUAGAUAUCACGCAGAACUCCGAUUGCGAAGGCAGCUUACUAAACUAUAACUGACGCUGAAGCACGAAAGCGUGGGGAUCAAACAGGAUUAGAUACCCCAGUAGUC